rnacentral:lncRNA from 1 species
CCGUUUUAGUUUUCUAAGUCUAGAUGCAUCAAUUUAUUAAUUAGACAUGGCAAAAUUCACUUAGGUCUAAUUAGAUUUUACAAUUAGGCCCAAGUUAUCAUCUUUUUGGCUACUGAUUACAAGCCAAGAUCCAAUUUUAAGCCUUAGUCUAUGUGAGUUAUUUUUAGUUAGCAAUCAUAUUAAGCAAACAUUUUAUUCACUACUUUACAUAUUACAUUUAUACAAAAUCAGAAAGCAAAAAAAUGAAGAAAAAAAAUAAAAGUACAUCCUCAAGAACUUAAAAAUAAGCAAAAACUAGCUAAACUGGUUGAAACUGUGCAAAACAGGCGAGACAAGGAUGAAGUGUCGAUCAGCAAUAGGACAGAACUGAUCGUUUUGUGCACAACCAUUCAAUUGUGUGCUGACCCAAUUAGCUCUAUGGACUUUUCAAGCAAUAGAACAAUCCUUUAGUGGUUUUAGGCAAAAACUACUAUAACUUAAACCAAAAGUAAAAUAUAUGUGAAAUCCAUUGAAUUACCAUGCCAAGAUCAAUUAAUACAUAUAAAUAAUAAAAAAUAAAGAAGUUGAUAAACCCUAAACAUACUGGAUAUGAAAUAACGAUUAGCAAAUUCAUUAGAUAAAAGGAAAACUUUCCUAAGAACAUACUUAAUUAAGAACGAUGGAUUCAAUUUUCUUAAUUCUAAAUAUGGAAAAUCAUUUGAUAACACAUUCUAAUAUGUAGAUCUAAUCAAUUAUAGCAUAAGUUAUUUGAUUCAAAACCCUAAACAUGCAGAUCUAUCAAGUAAAAAGAAAAUAUUUAUUAGUAUAAUUUUUCACGAUUAAGGUUUGGAUACUUACCUAUUUGUGUUACUAUAGGUUCAUGCUGACUGGCUUGGAGAUAAAGGAUCUGGGAUCCAUAUAUGUUAUACGUUGCCAACAGUGAGUUUAUAAGGAUACUCCUUGUUGCGCCUGCUUGCCGCAUGUCGUAUCUAAGCAAGCACACACCUAUGUCUAGGAAAGAGGGCCUAUCCUCCAACGUGUGCCUAGGUCGCCUCCAUGUCUAUGUUCUAGAAUGCUGACCUUUCAAACGAAGAGCUUGAGGAGUACCUCGAGGGUUAUGACGACCUCAAGGAGCUCACGAUCAGGUUGAGGAGGACCGAUUAUAUAACUUUUAUGACUCAACUGUUGGAGUCUAGGCCCUUGGAAAAAGACACU